rnacentral:tRNA from 1 species
GGAGGCGUGCCGGAGCGGCUUAACGGAACGGUUUGCUAAACCGUCGGCGUCUAAAAAACGUCACAGAGGUUCGAAUCCUCUCGCCUCCG